rfam:Culex pipiens quinquefasciatus supercont3.334 genomic scaffold, whole genome shotgun sequence.
GGCUCCGUGGCUUAAUGGUUACGGCUUCUGCCUCACAAGCAGAUGGUUCAGGGAUCAAAUCCCGGUCGGUUCCU